rnacentral:rRNA from 1 species
UACAGAGACUGCAAGCGUUGUUCGGAUUUACUGGGCGUAAAGGGCGCGUAGGCGGCAAUUCAAGUCAGUUGUGAAAUCUCCGAGCUUAACUCGGAACGGUCAACUGAUACUGUCUUGCUAGAGUACAGAAGGGGCAAUCGGAAUUCUUGGUGUAGCGGUGAAAUGCGUAGAUAUCAAGAGGAACACCUGAGGUGAAGACGGGUUGCUGGGCCGACACUGACGCUGAUGCGCGAAAGCCAGGGGAGCGAACGGG